GUGUGAUUUGUAUUAUAGAUUGAUCAGUGAAACUUACUGUGACCCCAUUUGUAGGCCUGGGGGGUUUGGCCAUCCAAGUUAGACCCCCAGGUUGAAUGGGUAACUGAAGCUACUGACUUCCUUUUUCUUCUGUCCCCAGCAGCAUUUUGUCAAGCCUACGAGGGUCCACUGUGGGGCCCCAGAGGCCCAGCCCUGCCAGAUGGUGACGACGUCGGGGAAUUUCCCUGAAAGGCCUGAAUUCAUCUGGGUGGGAACAUACUUGUCCUGAGACCCUUCUUCAGAACAUCAGUGUAGACCCUGAGGAGAAGAAGCUGCUGGUGUGUGUAGGAAUCUGCUGGUCCUGUGUGGGGAGAGGAGACUUAUAGAAGUCACUGCAUCUAGGAAAAGGUCAAGAAGGGAGCAACUAUGAAGGGCUUGGACCAGUUGUUGGAGGAGAGAGUUCUGGCGUCUCAGGACUCUGGCCAAGAAGUGAGGAUCGACGAGGAGGAGAGAAUGGCUUCUGAGUUCCUAAAAGCGAAGUCUCAGGUGAGUUUGGUUUGUUUCUUCUCUGUCUUGAAAUUCCACGUCCUUCCUAAGCAGGGCCACAGUGCUUUCCCCAGUCCUUCCUCUUGUUGCCUUCACCAAGCCCCAUCCGGUGACCUGACCCUUCCACGCUCCGCCACCGCCAUCACCACCAACGGUACUACUACUACUACUACCGGCAUUUCCACAGAGUUGUAGAGUCUGCAGAGCACUUUGUACAUGUUAUAUGCCUCAGUCAAUCCUCACAACAGCCCUGAGAGGGAGGGGCUGUUAUUAUCCCCAUUUUACAGAGGGGGAUACUGAGACAGAGGGCGCUGAAGUGACUUGCCACAUAGCUUGGUCACACAGGUAGUGGGUAUCUGCAGGAGGAUUUGAACCUGAUGCCAAGUCUAGCACUCUAUUCGCUGCACCACCUCACUGCCUUUGGCCCUCCUUACAUCUGGACUCCUUGAGUUCUACGUCUUUGAAUUUAAAAAAAUUGGUACUUGGUAUUAUAGCUACAAGCUUGCCAGAAACAACUUUUCAUUGCUAUUGAAUGGAACCAGCUCUAAACCUUGUUCUGCGUAGAAGAAGUUGUGUCCAAAGUGAUUGAGGCUCCUCCUCCCCUCAGACGACAUCUCUGCAGCCCUAGUCUUUUAGGAGCCAUACAGCCUGGCCCGGCAGUUGGAUGUUGGGGGAAUCUGAGGUGCAGAAGUGCUUUGUCAGCGCGCGAGUUGGAGACGCUGAACGUCUUGACCCUGAUUCCUCUUUCCAUCGUACAGUGGGACCCGCUUGGAAAGAUCCCCCACUUGCCUCCUGCCUCACCUCCCUUUCUCCUUCCUGUCAAAAAUCCAUUCAUUCUGUCAUUUUACUGGCACCACGAGUUACUCUAGUGGGGGUGUGAGAAAUAUCCAGUCGGGUCAGGCUUUGAUUAGGCACUUACUGUGUGCCACGAACUGUGCUAAGUGCCAGGGAUGCAAUGAAUGACAAAGUCUAGUGGCAUUGUGGGAUUGGGAGUUCGGAGGGACCAGUGUCCCCUCCCCCCAGCCCUGAGAGAAAGAAAGUCCGUGUGGUCUUUGGGUCAUGAGCAGAGCGAGAGUUGGGGGUGGAGCGCCAUCCUCAGCAUCGUUGGCCCCACCUGAAGCUCAGUGAGCUGUGCCGAAGGAGGAGUGGCAGUGAGAGGAGGGGUGGGUGAUUAGGCAGAGAGAGAAGUUAGGUGGAGACUAGGCACACAUCUGGAUGAGCUCCCAGAUGUGGUCUGUGGACCAGGAAAGCUUCCCCAACAUGUCCUGUCUGAUAACAGCUGUUAUGUUCUGUGCUAUAUUCUCUCUUUUAAAACAAAAAAUUUGAGCUGUUUCCUUUAUUCUGACUUUGUUUCAUUUAAAAAUCCGUGGUUGAUUACAAAGGUUGAUCACUACAUAUCUGUCUGUAUGCUUAGUCCAUGCUGAGCAAAGGGAUGUGGAGUAAGCCUGAGGUCAGCAGGAAAUACAUGAAAUUUAGAUAGGGCCGUGUUUUGAACUUCUGCUUGAUGUGUGGAAUUUUCCUAACUGGGGCUGUGAGCUAUUGAGAUUUUAAUACCUUUGUCCAACCUAAAUUCCAUAAAGUGCCAGAGAAAGAAGGCUGUAUUGACCUGAUUCAUUUUAUUGUUUCAAGGCUAAAGGCAAGAUUGGCUGAUGAAAUUUCUAGCUUCCCAGGAGGUGAAAGAGGCAGGGAGAGGAGGGCAGUGACCAGAGGUCGUGCCCUGAACUAGCCCCAUGGGAGGCAAUAGUUAUGGGUUGGGAGGAUUGCACUCCGGCUCUUUCCAGAAGGGAGGAGGGGGCAGAAGAAGAGGGGAGCAGUCUGCCAUCUUUGUCCUCCACAGCCACACCUGAAGGUCACAGGCCUGAUCAUGAGGUGUGCUUGCGUCUCACCAAGGUUUAUGUUUUCCUUUCCUUCUCCUUAUUUUACAAGGUUUGCUGCUUGCUCUCUUCUUCUGUGGGGCUUUGUCUGCCUUUGGCAAAGAAAUUGGGUGUUUUAUAAGGUCUUUUGGUGUCCUUGUUGAGGUGCAGGAUUUAUAUUGGGCUGUUUUCUUUAGGAUAUAGUGACUGUGUCAGUAUGUGUCCUUUGAUCAGUUUUCUUGUGUGUGUGUGUGUGUAAAUAAUUUGUUCCAUAAGUUUCAAGUUGUUUUAAUGCUACAUAUUUCUAUAUUUAGUCUUUUAAUUAGAUACUGAUUUCAUCUUUGCUGUAAGUUUCUAAUCUGACUGUAAACAGAUGGCUGAUUCUAAACAUCGCCAAAAUCGAUAACCAAUCUUUUUCUGCCUGUAAAGACCGAACUUUUUUUUGUGGUUUUAUAUCCCAGACCUUAGUGUGGCGUGCCUGGCACAUAAUAGGCACUUAAUAAAUGUUUAUUGACUGGCUGCUAAUUAGUGAGC
rnacentral:lncRNA from 1 species